rnacentral:lncRNA from 1 species
UGCAUUUGGCGGGAUCUGUGUCUCUCGCUGGUGCUGGCACAGGAGCUUGGGAUCUGUCUCCUCUUUCGCCUCCUGCACCUUGAGAGCCCUGGGCUACUCUGUCACAGCCCCUGUUGCCCUGCGAUCUGUAGGUCCUUGGGGACGCAUAGUUAAGGUGCCAGGACAUCCUGGAAGCUGGGAAAUGAUUUCUUCCAGACCAUGGCUGGAGAAGGAAAGAAGGUGUGUUUUGCCUGAUUCAGGGACUAUAGAGAGAACCAAGUUCUGCAGGCCUGUCAUCUAAGUCUCAGCUGGGUGUCACAAACUCUGAACUGGAUUCCAAGGCUUUCAUGAAUGCACUUAUGUUUGCUGUGGCAGCUGCAUUAUGUCGUGGGGGAUGUGGAUGCAGAACCUCCCAUUCUGUCGUCUUGCUUAUGUUACUCUCCUUUAUGUUUCACUUUCUCAAAUGAAUGUCAAGCAGGUGAUUUUCAGAUUCAAAAGUUCUAAAAUAAAUUGCUCAAAUUUACACAUUAUGUAAGCUGUUAAUAAAAUUUCUUGUAGGUGCUACAUAUUUAUUAAAAUUUUUGGUUGUAAUUUUAAGCUCACUGUAGGCAGAAAGGAAUCAUUAAGAUUUCUAUUCUUUUUUAGUCUGUAUCUAAAUGACCAUAUAUUUUAAUUCCAAAUAUUUACUUUAUACUUCAGUAAUGCUCAUUGUAUUUUGCAAAAUUUAUAUUGUUC